GAUGAACGCUAGCGGCAGGCCUAAUACAUGCAAGUCGUGCGGCAGCAGGACUGUAGCACUCCAGUUGCUGGCGACCGGCAAACGGGUGCGGAACACGUACGCCACUUACCCUGGACUGGGGUAUAGCCCGGGGAAACCAGGAUUAAUACCCCGUCAUAUAAUGUAGUGGCAUCCCUUUAUUAUUAAAGCUCCGGCGGUUCGGGAUGGGCGUGCGGCUGAUUAGUUGGUUGGUUGAGGUAACGGCUCACCAAGACUACGUUCAGUAACUGCUGGGAGAGCAAGACCAGUCAGACGGGAACAGAGACACGGCCCCGACUGCUACGAGAAGCAGCAGUAAGGAGUAAUGGGCAAGGGAGGCAACUCUGACCCGGCCAGGGCGCGUAGAGGAGUAAGGGCCUCUGGAUGGUAAACUUCUGUGAAAGGGGAGGAAGACUGUGGAAUCUUCCGCAGUUGACGGUACCCUAGGAAUAAGCACCGGCUAACUCCGUG
rnacentral:rRNA from 1 species